CACUAGUAGCAAAGAUGCGUCGGGUCAUCAUUUUAUUGGCAAUUACAGUAAGAAGAAUCCCUUGGAAAUAUAUACUUUUUGUAUGUUUUUCUUCCGUCUUUUUAAUUGUAUGUGUGUUCGUCAUGAACAAAACAGGAUUCAAACUUAGAUUCAUAAAUAAUGAUACAAUAAAAGCAACAAAUGAUUCACGUACUACUGCGAGAGAGAGAGAGAGAUUAAUUGACGACCCAUAAAUUCAAAAGUUUCUGAUUAAUCAUAAUCAUAACAGAAUUAACAUUGAACAUAGAGAGUUUAUAUAGCUUCAGUAUGGAAGGGGAGGUAGGAACUCAACUGCUAAAGCUGAAUAGAGAGAGUAAUUGAAAGGAAACACAUCGCUUGGAUACUAAUAAUCUAAUAAAUUUGACCUUUUAAGCCUCGGAUGGUUCGUCCUUGACUUUGUCCUUGUCUUUGUCGUCGGCGGCAUCAUCGGAUUCAGAGGAAGCUUCGUUGCUUCCUUCAACGGCGUCGUCGGGAUCGCGAGCAGGAUCGGAUUUGUCCAUGGCGGCUCGAACCUUGUCGAGGAACGGCUUCAAAGCCAACUCAAUAGCCAGCCACCCAAACGCUAGAGCACCAACAACGGUCAGCGCUUUCUUCAUCUUCUCCACACCCCUCCUUUCCUUAAACUGCGCUGCUUCUAUUUCUAUCUCUAUGCCACUAGUUAGCUAUCAAUUUUGUCUUCAUUUUCUAGGUCAAAUUACAACAAAGGGUAUUUUAAUUUUGUCUUCGUUUUCUAGGUCAAAUUACAACAAGGGUAUUUUUCCCCCUUUCUUGCGUAUUUGGAAAGGAAGCAAUACACUAAUUCCCCCUCCCUCCGCCUCCGGUUUAAAAUUCGAAAAUUCGGUCCCCCUUUGUUUGCCUUUUACCUUUAGCCCUAUUUUCCUCUUGGGCUCUGCUAAUUACGAUCACAUUAUCAUUAAUUACCAGUGUUGUAUUAAAGGAUUUAGCUUUAGUGCUGCAUUGAAUUUUUUAUUAAUCUUGUAGAAAUAUAUAAUUACUAAUUAUUGAAUAAGAAUAUAAUAAAAUACAAUUAGUAAUUAUUAAAUAAGAAUACAAAACUAAUUAAAACUUAGCAGCAUAUUACUGUACGUGCAAGUGUUAUAGAAGAUCAUAAAAAAUUGAACGCAACUCAACAUUUGGACCUAGAUCCUAAAUCCUAUAUUAAAAUAUAAGAAUUUCUGAACAUUUGAUUUGCUUCUUCAAGAUAUACAGGGUAUUACUUAAUUGAUAAGAAAAAUCUCACAAAAUUAAAGACUACGUGCAGACAUAAUAAAUACAGUCAGCUCAGUUCAAUUUUUCCAGUCAUGCAGAUCACAGUAAAAUGCGUAGCCCACGCACUUAGAACAAAACAUUUAACAAAAACUACAAUAACUUUCUAGACAUUUAUGAGUUAACUAAAUAAGCCGUGCCCAAUUUGUGCUAUGGUAUUUAAGUGCUCCGGUAAGGGAUAACAAUCCUUGGCAAGUGCCACACCGAAAGCUAUUUGCCUGUUAAGAUUUCCUCAAUAAGUAUUAGAUCACACGCUAAUUAAUCAGAGUCUUUUUUUUUUUUUUUUUUGGGUACCAUUAUAAGAAAGCAAAAACAAAGGAGUGAUGCUUCGAAUUCUAGAUCAAGUCACCCUGGUGGAACAAUAUUAAAAGAUAACAUCACUCCUUUCCAUGUCCCCACACACUCCUACAACAAAGAUGUUUACAUGACCAGGUGCUCCAAAAAUUAUAACCAGUGCAACAUAUCUAACGACCACGGCCACGCCCGCGACCACGUCCACGGCCCCGACCACGUCCCACCGGCCUCCCUGAAUUUGGAAAGAAUUAGAAAGAUUAAUAUCAUCAGGAAUCAUGAAAAGAAGCAUACACAAAAAAAAUGAACACAUGAAUGAAGCUUAAUCUGAGAAAUUAUGUCAAUACCAGCAGUCGGCUUCUUUGGCUUGACCCUAGGUGUCUCUUCAACCAGCAAUGUUUCAAGAUUCAAGCUGUCAGGAAGGAUAUAAUAACGGAUAUUGUUACCCCUCACACUUAGGUGAUCCAAGUUCACUGGAUUUUUCCCCUUCAGCGUAAGUUUCACUGUUUUCAAAUGUGUGUUCAUACUGAUAUCCACACCUGUAAUAAAACAGUCAAAUCUCCUGUCAGAACAGUUUCACCAUCCAUCCCCGUGCACAGAGUUAAUAGUAUUUCACCAAGGAAAACUAUGCAAUACAACUCUGCUCUAGUUAUUAUGUCACUCAAAUAAGUGCUCAGAAAAUAUGAACAUUUACUACCAAAGAGAAAGCUGCUGUACCGUACAUCCGCCUUGGCCGUACAGCAGGCUGCUAACAUNNNNNNNNNNNNNNNNNNNNNNNNNNNNNNNNNNNNNNNNNNNNNNNNNNNNNNNNNNNNNNNNNNNNNNNNNNNNNNNNNNNNNNNNNNNNNNNNNNNNNNNNNNNNNNNNNNNNNNNNNNNNNNNNNNNNNNNNNNNNNNNNNNNNNNNNNNNNNNNNNNNNNNNNNNNNNNNNNNNNNAGUACGAGUAUGAAGGUUCAAGGUAAAUGCAGCAGCUGCGUGUGUGAUUCCAUGUCAUGGGGUUUUGCACGUGUGCAAAGGAUGCAUGUAGCACAGAGAGAAAGGAGACCCCAUUCUAACAAAGGAAAAUUGUACGAACAUUUUCUACAAGGGCAAGAACUAUGAGAAAAUCAAGAAGGAAACAGGUUACUCAGGUAAUAUGGCAUCAAGUGCUUAUGACAUUGUACAAACACUUCUCUACAAGGGCAAGAACUAUGAAAAAAUGGAGAGGGAAACAGGUCACUCGGGUAAUAUGGCAUCAAGUGCUUGUAAACAGUCAAAAAUGGCAAUCUUGCAUUGGUGCUACACAUAAUCUUCAACUUCUAAUUUAAAAAAAUAAAAUCUCCAAUUCAACCAAUCACUACGUUUACCCUUUUAACUUCUUUUAUGAAAGAAGGUUUCCCCACCAAAGAAACAAGACAAAUCCCGGUUACAAAAGAGCAGCUUUGUCAACUCCUUCGAAGUUGAUUGACCGCAGGACAUGCGGCUUCCAUAAGAAAGCUAGUCAAUGGAGUUUUUACACUGAGCUAUAAAAUUUAAAAACUUUCACUUACCAAAAGCAAUUUCUCAGGAUUGUAAAUCCUAACUUAUUAAACGUCCUAACUACUUAAACCUUACUUCAUCGACUUUAGAUACCAUCGACAGUUUAUAAUGUAUUAAGGACAACCUCGGAAGCAAUUUCCUUCCAUAAAGGGUAAGAAAACCUCUAAAUUUCUGUUAAGAGAGAAAGCAAGGCACAAAAUCCAUCAACUUGCUGUGAUAAAAACCUGUAGAUGGGUAUGGAUAACUAAGGCAGACAUACAUCUCUAACAUGAAAAAUUUAAACAUACAAAACUAAGCAGUUAAACAAGGUAUUAUCCUAAUAUAUAGCAAAUUCCAAUGCUUCAAUUAAAGAAAAGACAAUAUACAUAUCCUAGAAUGGGAUAUCCUACUAUCAUCUAUACUAAUCCGUACUGUUUACACGAAAAAAACAGACAAGAGCACUAGGUUCUAACUCAUACUAUUAUCUAUACUAAUUUAAGUCUUAUAGAAGAAUCAUGACUCGCAGUUUAUCAACUAAAUUAUAUACCACACUGGAAGCCAAUAGAGGGGAAAAAAUGAAAAAAAACCCCAAAAUGAAGUGGUAACUCCAACUCAAUUGUUCAUAAUCGAGGCACAACUAGUCUAGCAGUUAACAAUUUGUAUUCUAAUCGGAAAUUAAGCAUAUAUGUAAAAGAAAUAAACAAAAACGAAAAAUAAAAGGCUAGGGUUUAACAAAACCCUAGAUGUACUAAACCCUGAAAAAGGAAAAAGGAAAUGAAGCAAUAAUAAGUGAAGAGAAAAUAACCUGUGAUGGUUCCGUGAACAAUGGUUCCGUUCUUCAGUUCAAUCGACACGGUCUCAUUGUUCAACUUCAUCAAGAACCUGUUUGAUUUCCGAUUUCAGUCACGAGCAAAUUUUUUUUAAAAAAACAAUAAUAAGGCGAAUCACAACAGUAACAAUAAAAGGAGAAAGAGUAAUUGUUGUGACCGACCUGACGAGCUUCAUUUUGGUGAGCAAGACGAAAGCUAGGGCUUUGAAGCAAAAGCGGAGAGAAGAAGAUUCUCUGCUACUAGGAAGCGGGAACGUUGUGCUGCACUCUGUGGAUCUGAUUUAGGGCUCGGGUGUGUAUUAAGGCCAUUUUAGCCUGGCAAAACGGCUCCGUUUAAGUCAGAGUCAAUUUGUCUUUAUUGCAAGACACUAUAGCUCUUCCACCUCAAUAAUCCUAAUAUGAAAUUUGUGGAAAGAAAAGUAAGGAUGGAAUAUUUAUGCAUUAAAGAUUAUUUUAAAUACUUUAUUAUUUUAUACAUUCAUAUAUUAAAUUAUUUAAAAAAUUAAAUUUUACUUUAUAUAUUUUUUAAAAUUCUAAAAAAAUAUGUACUUAAACUAAUAAAUUAAUUAACUUUAUUUACUCGAAACACUAAUAAAGUUAUUCAACACACUCAAUUUUAAGAGAUUUAACUCAUAUUUAUUGUAAUAUAAGCUCUAAAAAAAUUAUUUAGCAUAAUUUCAGCUAUUAUUAUUUUUUAUUAUUUAUGUUCAAUAUUAGAUUUUGCCUCCAAAACAACUUGCAAUGGAACAUAAUAAUUAAAAAAAAGUACUCUACAAAUACUACCAAAAAAGAAACGAAGACAAAGAACAGAAAAAAUCUCACAUAUUUUGUAGUAAAAUUUUUUUAAAAAUAUUUAUUUCCUGUUUUAUUUUCAAGGCAUUGAGUAGUGAGUAUAAUAUAUCAGCAUUCAAAGUCAUUGUGUAAUAUAAAUUUAUAAGAAAUUAUUAUUAAUGGAAAUUUACAUUAUGAACAAUUUUGUAAUAAAUUCUUAAUUAAAAUUAAAGUGUGUAUAGAAUAAUUUUUAAGUACGAACAGUCCCAGCCUAAAAAUAAAUAGGCUUUGAAUUAGAAAAUCCCUCCUAAUUUAUUGAUGCAAUGAAAUCUUUCACAUCUAUGAGUUUUGUCAUACUGAAAAUGUUGCAAUUCUAGAAAGUCAAAGCAAAUUUGAAGACGAUUAAAUAAAUAUUUUAAUAAAAACGAUAUACAAUUUUGAACGAAUAUUAAAAUAUGGGACUCGCCUAUCGUGCAACAGUGGCACCAUGCCACUGCUUUUGUCUUUUCUGUGUAAAAUUUCAUGAAGCCCUUUCACUUAUUCUUAUUUGAACUUUGAAGCCCUUUCACUUAUUCUUAUUUGAACUUUGCUUCAAAAAUAUUAAGUUCAUUUCUCCCAAACCCGUGAAUCCUUUAACGGCCGAUCAACGGCAAAUCGGCUCCUCCGGUGGCUGUGGUUGGUCAGAAAAGACAUAGAGAAUUGUGGAGAACAAAACUCAAGUGGUGGCGUCACCGGAAACUGGAGAAACAACGACGAAUUGAAGCGGGGAUUCUGUGACUUUUCACGGCUUCGAUCGGCAGCUUUCCGAAUGCUUUACGACGACAAGGAUGACAUGGAGAUGACCGGCAUCACACGAGCUUCCGAUCGGUACCAACCUUGGCCGGUGGAGUUGCCGGAAAUGGAAACAAAAUCCGGGUCGGGUUCGCGGGUCGGGUUGACCCGGUUAUUUUUGUGACAAGGAUGGUGUGGAGAUGACCGGCGUCGCACGAUCUUCCGAUCGGUACCAACCUUGGCCGGUGGCGUGGACGGAAAUGGAAACGAAAUUCGGGUCGGGUUCGCCGGUAUUUGUGAUAAAAAGAGGGGUAUUGUGAUAAAUGUGUAAUAUAGAAGAAAAAUGUAUAAAUAACAAAUAGUAUAAGGUGCUAAUUAUAAUGUUUAUAUGGAUGCAAUAGAAAUUAAUUUAAUAUUUAUGAGGUAAAGUUUAAAUAAAAAUGAAUGAAAGGGGUUCAAUGAAAAUUUACAACACAGUUGGCACAAAAGACAAAACCAGUGGUACGGAUACCACGGUGGUACCGUAGUUGGAUCCUUUGUUAAGUCAUGACAAUCUGAAAUUUUUAUUAUUUUUUUUGGAAAUAUUAUUAGUUAGUGGAUAUAGGAGGAAUAUCCACCACAGCCAUCGAAUCGAGUUAGUGACCAUACAGAGUAAUUACUUUAAUCAGUUAAGCAGAAAUAUAAAUUUAUAUGUAUCCUGAAAACAAUCCCACAAUAUCAUACAUAAAAUCAUACAUCUCAAAUGAGUUAAUUUACAAAUAUAAAUAUCAAACUCAAUUCAUAAAAGAAAUCAAAAUAUAUAAACAAAUAAAAAGUAACAAACGGGGAACAAAUUCAUAAUCGUGGCACCCUAUUCAAACCAAAUAAAAACUUAAAAAAUUUGUCACCAACGACUUGGAUAUGUAGUAUUCUUUUAGUCAAGCAGUGGAAGUGAAGUUGAAAUUGGCGCACGUAGUUUGCCUGCCCAAGAGCGCAGAGCCGAAGCCUGGCCUUGAUGUUGCCGAAUCAAACUUAAGAAGCAUGUCCUCCUACUGGUGCCCUCCGAUGACAAUGGAAGUUGUAGGUUUCGAACCGCCAUUAACAAACCCUGGACAGUACAUAUCUUCAUUGACCUGCACCAUCGAGUUUGCAUCAAAGAUGCGCCAUAUCACAUUUUCAUUCUCUGCAAAACAAGUUGGAUGGUCAGCACGGAUGCCCCCAAACGCGUGCCAAGUAUGUUCCUUGAGUUGAAACACACAUCAAAGGGUGCCACGGAUGCCACCCUAGUGGUGUUUCUAGCAGAUUAACGCCUCUGUUACUGCCUUAAAUAUCGACUUCUCCAAUGCAGUGUAGGGAUUCACAGUGCUGAUUUUUGUUCCGCCAAAGCCCUGGCUGUCUAUUGACAGCAAUGUUGAGUUCAAUGGGACGACUCUGUCAUCGACCUUCAUUGAUUUCACUCCAAUGAAGAAUUUGUUGAUGUCGAAAUCUGAUCUAGUUGGUUAGCGACUUAAUAUCAGACUCUUGCAUCAGUAUUAAAUUUAUUUGGUGGAGAAUGGGCUAGCCAAUCGUCAAGACUACUAAUAAUUAAUGUGCGAAUACCUAAAAUCACAUAAGACGGUAAGAGGUGCCAUAAAUUUUUUUCAACGUGAACCCUCGACGCUUAAGUUAGUAAUCAGCCUUUUUCGGAAAAAAAUUAAAAAAAAAAUAAUAAAAGAAUUAAAAAUUGAGAAAAUUGAUUUUUUUUUUUAACCUCCCUUACUUUGGAUUUUUCAGGACUUUUAUAAGCAUCCGAAAUUAUCGCACCAUCGUUGGCAUUACUGGGUUGAAUGCGUCGCUUGAAUCAUGUGUUGUUGUUGCACCCUGGCCUUGGUGAUGAAAAGCAGUCGCCGCAGCUGUUGGAUCUAGCCACUGAGCACUGGGCUGACUUACACCUCACUGGGCGGUACGCUGAGGACGAAUAGUUUUGUCUGCAAUCAACCCACAUGAAUUGGCCGCCUAGAUCAACCACCAGGUUUACUGGCAACAGUGAGGUUCUCUGGUUGAUAGUGGUCACAUACUGAAGUGUGGAAGCAUCUUUUGUGACGGGAACUACUAGAGCUUUUGGCCUGAAAGAUUUAUGAGCGAAAGAGGGAGGAGCAAUGGAAAAUAAAAUGAGACCAGAGAAGAGAAUGCACACUAAAUUCGUAGAGAAGAUGCCGUUUUAAUUUGUUUGCAAGAAUCAAAAAGCUUGUAGACGUUGGAAAUGAGAUGAGCGUGGACAGACUGUGGCAAUGCCGCCUCCAUUUAUAGUUUCUAUAAUUCAUAUUUAUUAAUUAUUAAUAUGCAGAGCAUGCGGUGGCUUGGCUCUGACUACUGACGUGCUGAGACCAGACGUCUUCCAAGACUGCUGUAAUUUUAUACCACUGGAUCCAAAUCCAUAAAUAGGGUCCCGAAUAAUAGUCUUAUAUACAUUCAAGCGCGGAGUCGAUAUUUCUAUUCUUUAUUUAGAGCACUAGAAUAAAUAUAUCCAAUAAUUACACCAUGUGUAUAUGACAACAUUGUAACAUAAUUUAUAUUUUCUUCCCAGAUAAAAAUCAUUUAUUUAAAAGAUAAUUCCUCUAGGUUUUUGAGUUGUGGAUUGCAAUAGCUACCAGUCUUUUGAGAAAGUAAUUUUCUUUGCUUGAACAGUGAGCCAAUGAACACAAAAAAAAUUGUUGUGUAGAGAUAAAAGAAAUAUUGUAGCAGAAUUAGAUGAUUGUAUAUUUGUAUUAAUUAUACGAUGUUUGAGACUUUUAAAGCUUUUAACAAACUUGUCAAAGGGAUGUCAAAAAUUUAAUUAAUUCUAAACUUCAUAUCAUAAGGUUACAUUGAAGAUUUUUCGGAAAAGAGAAAUAACUUAAGAUUAUUGGGAAAAGGUUAAUAAUUAAAGAAAUUUGACUUUAGUGAAAGGAAAUUGUUUGAACCUGUGUUGUGAACCCAUCGAAUCCUCAGUUGGGGACUUUUAUACCAUAUGCUCGCGAUGGUGAGAAUAGUAACGUGUGACCCGCGGGCAUUUGGAAAGAAUUAGAGACUUAAGAGUACGUAGUUGAGCCCAUCAAAAACUUUGGAUCAAUAAUAUCCUGUGGCAUUAGACAAAUGCUUUCGCAUAUAAAAACCGAAUUUAAUUUUUUUGUUCAGCGUUGUUCAUUAAUCACCUCCAAAGACUGUAUAGUGUCAACCCGAAAGUUCGAAGAAAUACAGAUGUUGAGUGGGCCUAAAACUACCCAAAAGUAAAGCCAUUAGCUGUCUAAAUACUCAAUGGCUCAAUUCCAAGCUCUGUAGUUCACAUCACAGCACAUUCACCGUCAUCAUUACAGUUCACAUCCCCAUAUGGGGCAUUCCUCGGCUGUAUCCCUCGAUGAUGAUGAUGAGCAUAAUAACUUGGUGGUGUAGUGAAGGGAUGAACAUAAUUUGGCACCGGUGGUGGCCCAUAAUGGGGCAUCGGCUUCAUAGGCUUCUCCACGAACCCAUUGCCAAACCCUGAAUCCCCAGCACCAUGACAACAUCUUUGAGUUACAUUAUUUUUCGCUACAUGUCCAUUACCACUCUUUGUAUUCAGUGAAUUGCAACGGUUUGCAUGACAUCUGUAUCCUUGUUGCUCUUCAUUGUGCAAUGCAACUUCACGCUGACCAUUCAGGUUGAUUUUCAUGGCAUGAUCAUUGUUAGUAGCAUGGCUCAUGUCAUUGUUAUGGUCCUUGAAGGUUAAUUUUAUGUUUUCAGAGUGGCGUAGACCUAUAUGUUUUAGUCCUUUAAUCUUGGCCAGGUCUUGCAACUGUGCAUGGUCAAACGUAAUUGCUCGAGGGCUGCCUCCUGCCGGUGCUGCUGGUUGUGAUUGUAGUGAUGGUGCAUUUUCAUUUUGCGGCUUUUUGAGUAGCUGCUCGACGUGGGGAUUUUGAUUUCUCCUAGGGGUUUGUAUAGGAUCCCAUAAAAGCUCUGCCCUUUUCCCAGCCUUUGCCAGCUUUGCUAUGAACAGGUGUGGGUCUACUGUACUUGAGACUGCCACUGUUCCCUCAUUUGCAUCUAUGCUGAUUGUAUGCACGCCUGCAGAAUGACAAAAGACACAGUUCAUAAAAUUGAAAUUUGCAACGUAUUUCUCUUUAGGGGAAAACGGGAAAGUUACCAUGAAUUUUCUUCAACACUUUCUUCACCCUCCGCUGGCAAGUCUCACACUUUAGUUGCAUUUUUAGAACACAGGUCUGCAAUGCCAAAAUACUUAACAGAUAACAUUUUUGUCUCAACCAUCACAUCCAUAUGAUUGUAUGUAGAGAUUGAUAUGCUUUGAAUGACAACAUGUACCUGGGGAGAAACCUGAUUGUUGUCCAUUGAAGUUGACUUUCAGAUCUCCGAAAACAAAUGCUAGUUGUUGGUGUGCUCACCAAAUGCCAGAUACUUCACUGCUGUUCUUAGAAAAAUGCCGAUGGGGAUGCCUUGAACAGUUUUCAGGUUUAAAGAGUGAUAUCUAUACGCAAGUAAUUUUGGUCUUAAAUUUAGAAAUUAAUUAUUGAUUUAGUGUCAUGUAAGAAAUUUAAUGGAAAAUUUUCAAGGAAGAUAUUCUGUAUAAAUGCCAGAAUUCGUAUUGAUCUCUUUUGAGUUAUGAUAUUUAGAUUUGUAUGAAGAAGUCACAUCUUGAUUUGCUAGUGCGACAUCCAAAUUUUAAGUUUCAAAAUCAGAGAUUUGGUGCAAAACCUGGACAGAACAAUUUAAAGUGACUACUUACAUAUUUUUAUAUUUAAUAACAUUGGAUAUCAGAUACCAUCAAAUUCGAUGGUGCCAAUGUGAAUUUCAUAUUAAAGAUGUCUUGUACAGGGAAAUCGAAACGUGAUCAGAGAGGCGGGGGGGCGGGUGGUGUCAUUAAUUACACAUAAUGAUAGCCAUUUAUUGGAUUUAAUCACACAUGCAGAAUGGAAAUGACUUGAAAUCUAAACUAAAAGAGAGCCUUGCAUCACAGUAAUAGCUUUCCCUCGCAGCUGCACUCUCUGAUUCUGCUCAUCCAAAUGAAUGUUCAAGAUCCCACUUCUAGGUGAUGCCUGAGUGUAGUAGAAAGCGUAAUCAAUAUAUAACAAUUAUAAGAAUAUGAAUAAAUGUUAAUUAGAGUGAAAUGGAUGCAAAGAGAGUACCGCAUAUGCCACAAAAUCACACUUUCCAAGCUUUUGUCUCCAAUAGGUUGCCAAAGCACAAUAUGCGCUCCCACAAACAGGAUCCUGAUAUAAACAAGUCAUGUACAUAAAAGACUAUUCAUUAGAAUUGUUACAGUCUUGAGAUAGUUUUUGAAAAUGAUUUCCGUCUUACUUAUUAGAUCCUAAACUACAAUACCAUACAUAAAAGAAAGUUCUUUGGUCUCUUACACAGACAUGUUACUUCAAAUGCCAAACAUUCUUCAUUGAAAACAAAACAGAGCAGUAUACGUUAGAGGCACUAAAUAUUUUGAAGUUAGCAAAAGGGGGAAAAGGCGGUAGAAAAUGAACGUUUUCAGCAGUAGCAUUUACACUCAAUUUGCAGUCCUCAUUACUCAUCAGAUGCUCUCAAGACAGGAAUGAUAUUCAAUGCAGAUCUCCUUGUAGCAUGAGUUAUCAUUCAGUCAUGUUUAUGAGAAAUGUCCAUGCUCAUAAUAGUCGUAUGUGAACUCAAUCAUUAAAACCAACGAGUUAUUACCUCAUUGACACCAAAUUUAGGGCAGAAGAAUCGGCUAUAAAAAUCAAAUCCAGACUCUGGGGGAGCAAGCCCUGAAACAAUUAUGCCUCUUCUUCCAGGACAUUUUUUCAUUUCAUCAAACUUUGGCUGCAAGUCUGCAACAGAUUUUGCUGAUGGGAGCACCACCUGCGUAAUGUAGCCAACUUUAUUCAGAACAACUAUUGAAACUAUAUCCAAAUGAGUGAAGGGUAAAAUGAAAUUACAAAGAUGUCUUCACAGGUAGUUGUUAUCUUCAUAUCCACGACUGAGGAGACACCCAAAGCCUUGAGAAUUAAUGAAACCUCAGAAAAAUUUAAGUCAGCAGUUGGAGCAGCAGGAAAAUCCAAUUCAAUAAAAUAGCACUCUUGUGCUUCACCAUUCUGAGAAUUAGAGUCAUUCAUUGUCUUAACAUAUGGGACCUUUUUGGCUGUUAGAAUGCCAGACAGUGUGGCAAAUUCAACUGUGUUGGAGUUUACCAAAUCUGUCGAAAAGAGCGUGUGCGCAGCUGCUAAUGUUGCAUGCCCACAAAGUUCCAUCUGCAGAAAAUCUUAUCUUGAAGAUCAAAAUAUACACUCCUUUGUAUUGACGUGACGUAUAUAUAAAUCACUAUAACAUGAAUACAUGAAAAUAUAUGUUAGCAUGAUGAUCACUCCACAAAGCUUUAGUUAUGAUUUCCAUUCAGAAAUAAAAAGAUGCAUAGCCACAUAAAUAAGAGGGAACAUUCAACAAUGAUUAAAUCAUAACAAAAAUAAAACCACAAGGAGUAUGAUAAAUCGUGAAGCUCCUGAACUAAGCCAAAUAGCUUCGUCCACAAUUUAUAAUUAUGAGAACUAAAACUGACCUCAGCAACAGGAGUGAACCAUCUAAGACGGAACCUCGGAUUAGGCGAUUCAGCAUCAGUAAGGCGAGUCAAGUAACAGGUCUCGGAGAUAUUGAACUCAGAAGCCACAGCUUGUAGCCAUUCUUCAUCUCUAUCUUCCUCUAACAAACAAACCGCUGCCGGGUUCCCCUUGAAAGCUGAGUCAGUAAAAGCAUCCACCUGUCAAAGCAACAAAAAGAACCCAGUCCCAUUCAACCACAACGGAACAUCAAUCUAUAUACAAAAGAGGAGAUUACUAUUAGUUACCACAUAGUAUUGUACGAGCUUCUUGGCCAUGUUGCAGAAUAAAGAAUGAAGUUUAGAGUUUGACACGUGAAACUUGGAGUUGCAGAGCUGAAACCCGAAACUGAGAUGAAGGAAAUGGUCAACCUAACAGCCGCCAACCUACUGUCUUUUUCUUUAUAUUCUGCUGUACCGUACAUCCGCCUUGGCCGUACAGCAGAAACUCAUUCUCCUUUUAAUCAAUUUUUCCACCACCAACCCAUGAACAAGACAAAUCAAACACAACCAACAACCACUUAUAAAACUCCAAAAACAAGAAAAUCAAAGGCAUUUAAAAAUUUUAGACUUUGAUAAAAUAACUAACCUCUUACAAACUCCAAUAACAGUGGCAUCUUCCGGCCGCCGUUGAUCGUCAUCGGUCGAUGGCCUUAUCCGACCACCUAUAUUUUUCUUCUUAAUGGGUUAUGUAUACUCUUGAUGUGUAUUUCUUUUUGUUCCAGCAAAUGAGAGUAGGUGAGUGCAGUGAAAAUUGUGAGAGAAUGUCAUCCAUUGCUUUUUUGUGCUGGGGAAAGAGAAGAGAAAGAGAAAUGCACUCUUUUACACAAUGGAUAUUGUGUCUAAUCGGUUAAUACAAUUGUCCAAUAAAUUUUAAACCAUUUUUUUAUUGUUAUUUGAUUUUUUUUAUAAUUUCACCUUAUCUUUUACAUAUUUGCCCUCGUCAACUAACGGUCAAACUGUAUGUAUACUAACGGCAUGGGAGGUAAGUGAGAAUACAAUCAAACUCGCCAUCUAAGUGAAAUUAUAUCAAACCUCAGGGGAGGUUUCUGAAAAUUGCCCUUUNNNNNNNNNNNNNNNNNNNNNNNNNNNNNNNNNNNNNNNNNNNNNNNNNNNNNNNNNNNNNNNNNNNNNNNNNNNNNNNNNNNNNNNNNNNNNNNNNNNNNNNNNNNNNNNNNNNNNNNNNNNNNNNNNNNNNNNNNNNNNNNNNNNNNNNNNNNNNNNNNNNNNNNNNNNNNNNNNNNNNNNNNNNNNNNNNNNNNNNNNNNNNNNNNNNNNNNNNNNNNNNNNNNNNNNNNNNNNNNNNNNNNNNNNNNNNNNNNNNNNNNNNNNNNNNNNNNNNNNNNNNNNNNNNNNNNNNNNNNNNNNNNNNNNNNNNNNNNNNNNNNNNNNNNNNNNNNNNNNNNNNNNNNNNNNNNNNNNNNNNNNNCCCAAAAAAAAAAAAAAAAAAGGGAAAUUAGUACACUUUAAUAUGAGACUACAUAAUUAUAAUUAUAUUUAUAUUUGCCUUCAUUUCCGUCGAGGUUUACCCAAAAAAAAAAAAAAAAAAAAUUGCUUUGUAUCUCUCUUCUUAGUUCAUCAAAAGUUAAGCUGUGUUGUAUUUGAUUUACGUCCAUGAAUAUAUAGGAGGGUUCUGUGGCUUCAUAUCAGUCCCUAAGACAAAAUUGUGAAUGCAGCCACAUCAUAUUAAUUGAAGAAAGUCUUUGGGAAUACUUCUUUACGCAAUUUCUUUAUGAUGGGCAUAUAUUAGCGGACUCUUUACCGAGUGAUACUCAAAUAAACAGAAGAAUAGAAUUAAAACAAGAUGUAGAAAACCCAUUUCUUCGGAAAGUCGAACAAAAAAUGCUCUGCUCAUUUGCUUUCGUCCUCGUGGUUUUGAAGUCUUGGAUAGAAUAACGUAGUCAGUCUCUGGAAAAAGGAAUCCUCAGAGCCUAUCAGUGGCGAUUCUGGCGAAGCUAUGAGCUUUACUUCAACCCGCUUAAACUAAAAUAAUAUUUUAGAGAUUAAUGUGAACAUUGUUUAUUUCAUUAAAGAUUCAUUUUUGUUUUAAUUAAGAACCAAUCGAAAACAUUUAUCUUAUUAAUUAGGGAUUAUAAAAAAAUAUGUCAAAACUUGAAAUCUAAAAUAAAAGUAAUUCCUAGUAGCCACAACUAGCCCUCUCCAUCAUUCGCCUUUGGAGCCUACUGUUAGAAUUAAUAGUGUGUUUACCAAUUGAUAAUUUAAAUGAGCUGAAAUAAAAAAAAUAAAAAAAAAGAAUAAGUUGUUUGCUUAAGUUGUAAGAAUUGAAAUUAGAAUGAGAUACAUUUUCAUUAAUGUGUUUAGUUUAUCUUAGAAUUAGAAUGAACUGUUGUAAAUUAUUAAAUGCUCGUAGUUAAUUGUUGUACUUAAUGUAAUAAGAAUAAGAAUAAAAAUAAUAACAAUAGUUAAUAAUAAUUAAACUAAUAAAAUCACUAAAUUUUAACAAUAGUAAUAUUAAUAAAAUCAAUAAAUUUUAAUAAUAUUAUUGUAAAAAUAACAACAAUGACAUUAAUAAAUAGUAAUUACUAUAAUAAUAAUCAUAAUCAUAAUAAUGAUAAUAAUUAUUAUUAUAACAAUUAUUAUAAUAAUAUUAUUAUUAUAUUAUUAAUCAUAAAUAAUAAAGAACCUACUUGGUAAAUAUUACAAAAUUUCUAGGUAUUUUAAAAUUGAUAUAACUAUUGUGAUGAACUGGUAGUUCAAUAAGUGCAAAGUUAUUACCUGCUCUGACAUGAAGAAUUUACAUAUGAGGGUAAUGAAUACAUAUUAAAUUAUAGAAAAUUCACAAAAAAUUUAGUUAUAGCUGCUGUACGGCCAAGGCGGAUGUACGGUACAGCAGAAUGAAGGCUCGUAUGCAAACCUGUGAUUAAAAGGAUUUUAACUCCUAAUAACAAUAAAAUCUGUUAACAAGCCAUGCAUUAAAAAGACAAAGACCGGGCAGAUAUACCAGCUGGUUGACACAUAAUUAAUACAGAAUAAAGAUGAGACUUUAAUAUUUUAAAUCCUUCAUAAAACCAAAUGGAUACUCUUACCAACUUAUUUUUGGAUUAUAAAAAUUUAAUGCCAAACAGAUAUUAUGAUCCUCGCUACAGAGAACAUAAAAUGAAUUGCAAUUAACAGAGUAAAGAAAAAAAGGAUGAAUAUAAAUAUGUACCUCGAAGCCCUCAAUAAGUUCUGGAAGAUAGCUACGGCGAAAUGCAUCUCUUGUUCGACAAUCGAUUCUGCGCCAUGCAUUCAAGACAGCUAUCUUAUCAGUGUCAACAUGACAUUUCCUCUUCAGGGUCGAACCAUUUAAGGCUUUAAUGAUAUUAGCCUGCCACAAACAAAAGAUGAUUGCAGUUGGAGCAUUUUGGCACAUUACAUGUCAAAUUAACACAAAGCAUUGUAUUGGAGUCUGCAUCCACACAAAUCUCACAAAACUGCAGGUUAUUCAGGCAUAUACUUUCUUGACAGCAGAAGAAAUUUGAAAGAUCAAAACUAGUUUUGGUGAUUAAGAGAAGUAAAAAGACCUCUUUAUCCAUGUCUAUAUUCCUGAAUUUGUCCCACUCUCCAUAGUUAGUCAUACAAAAUGGUGAUGGCGGCACUUUGUCACCUGCAAAAUGAACUCAAAAUCAAUGCUAAAAUAACUGAUUUUGCAAAUUACUGCCACAAAGGUGCAAGUGACUUCAGAGAUGCCAAAAAUAAAAGUUGUGCUCCUGUUGUUCCCCAACAGAAAGAACGAAGAGUGUACUUAAAUUUGCUGAGUAGUAUCAAAGUUAGUACACACACAAACAUACGACGACUAUAUCCAAAUAAACUUGACCGUAUUAUGAUAUAAGAAGUUAAGCAAAUUUCCGUAUUGAUAAGAAAAUAAGAACCAAUCCGAACUCCACUACUGCAACAUGUAUAUUGCACACGGCUCACCUCAAAUACCCACAGAUAACUUGACACAAGAAAGACAACCUUGGUGUAAAUGUAAAGAAUUACAGAAACAAGAUAGUAUUCAAUUCUCUUGCAUUUGCUUGUCAGCAAAUUUCAUAUCGGAACAACUAAACCAAAUUAGUAUGCCAAGUAAGUGCCCUAGGGCAACUUGAUAAGGCAGCGUGCUUGAAUGAGCCAAAAGCACACACAGACACAUACUGAUAAAGAUAGCAGUUAUUUGAGCAUUAUAAAUAGGAAAAUCAAGGCAGAAAAUUACCCCAAGGUGGUGGAGCAAACAAGCCUCUAAUUUCAUCGGCAUCUAACCGUGGAACAAGUUCCAUCAACAACGAUCAUUUAACCACAUUCGAGACUGCUGAUUGCUAACCUGCAACAAAAUAAAAUGAGCCCCAAUAUGAUUAAUGAACUUGCACAAAUUAUAUGGAUUCUGUCUUUGUUCUGAAAAACAUAAGAUCAAAAGGAACCGUAGCGAAAAUACACGAACAAAAACACCUCAAAUAUCUUCAGCAGAACAAGUAGUGAUCAACAAAAUACAGUCCAAUGAAAUUGGCUUACUGCUUAUUGUAUUACAAUGAAGUGAUUUUAUCAUAUAACAUUGGAUAUCGGAUACCACCAAAUUGGAUGGUACAAAUGUAAAUGUUAUCUUAAAGAUGUCUUGUACAAGGUAUCGAAACAUGAUCAAGAAACACUCCAGGGAAUCAUUAUUUGAACGUAAUGAUUGACAUUUAUUGGAGUUGAUCACACACGCAUAAUGGAAAUCACUUGAAAUCUAAACUAACAGAGAGCCUUCCAUCACAGUAAUAGCUUUUCCUCGCAGCUGCACUCUCUGAUUCUGCUUGUCUACAUGAAUGUUCAAGAUCCCACUUCUUGGUGAUGCCUGAGUCAGGUAAAAUGUAAUCAACAUAUAACAAUUAGAAGGAAUAUGAAUAGACAUAAAUUAGAGAGAAAUGGAUGCAAAGAGAGUACCGCGUAAGCCACAAAAUCACACUUUCCAAGCUUUUGACUCCAAUAGGUUGCCAAAGCACAAUGUGCACUCCCACAAACGGGAUCCUGAUAUAAACAAGUCAUGUACAUAUAAGACUGUUACUAGAACUGUUUCAAUAUUGACAGAGUUUUUGAAAAUUACUUCCAUCUUACUUAUUGGAUCCUAAACUACAGUACCACACAUAAAAGAAAGUUCUUUGUUCUCUUACAUAGACAUUUUACUUCAAAUGCCAAAAAUCCUUCUUGAAAUCAAAACAGAGCAAUCUACACUAGACUUUAGAGGCACUAUAUGUUUCGAAGUUAGUAAAUGGGUGAAAAGCUAGUAGGAAAUGAGCAAUAAUUUUGUUCACUUUCAGCUGUAACAUUUCACUCAAUUUGCAGGCCUUAUUACUCAUCAGAUUUUCUAAAACAGAAAUGAUAGUCAAUGCACAUCGCCAUGUAGCAUGAGUUAUGACAAAUGUACAUGCUCAUAAUAUAGUAGUAUAUAAACUCAUUCAUUAAAACCAACGAGUUAUUACCUCAUUGAUGCCAAAUUUAGGGCAGAAGAAUCGGCUAUAAAAAUCAAAUCCAGACUCUGGAGGAGCAAGCCCUGAAACAAUUAUGCCGCUUCCAGGACAUUUUCGUAUUUCAUCAAACUGUGGCUCCACGUCUGUAACAGAUUUCGCCGAUGGGAGCACCACCUGCAUAUUGUAGCCAACUUCAUUCAGAACAACUACUAACACUAUAUCCAAAUGAGUAAAGGGUUAAAAGAAAUUACAAAGAUAUCUUCUGAGGUAGUUGUUAUCUUCAUAUCCAUGACUGAAGAAACACUCAAAGCCUUGUGAAUUAAGGAAACCUCAGAAAAAUUAAAAUCAGUAGUUGGAACUAUAGGAAAAUCCAAUUCAAUAAAAUAGCACUCUUGUGCUUCGCCUUUCUGUGAAUUAGAGUCAUUCAUCGCCUUAACAUCUGGAACUUUUUUGGCUGUUAGAAUUCCAGACAGUGUGGCAAAUUCAAUUAUGUUGGAGUUUACCAAACCUCUCGAAAAGAGAGUGUGUGCAGCUGCUAAUGUUGCAUGACCACAAAGUUCAACCUGCAAAAAACUUAUCCUGAAAUUAAAAUACACUCUCCUUUGUGUUGGAGUAAGUGUCAUAUGCAUAAAAAACUAUGACAUGAACACAUGAAAAUAUAUGAAGCCUAAUGAUCAGAAAUAAUAUCAUUCAAGAUAAAAAUUUAGCUAUAAUCUUCCUUCAGAACUAAAAGAAGCAUAGCACAUAAAUAAGAGUAAACAUUCCACAAUGAUGGAAUGAUGAAAUAACUAAAACCCCAUGAAAUAAGAUAAAUCAUCAAGCUCCAGAACUGAGCCAAAUAGCUUCAUCCACAACUUAUAAUUAUAAAAACUGAAACUGACCUCAGCAACAGUAGUGAACCAUCUAAGACGGAACCUCGGAUUAGGCGAUUCAGCAUCAGUAAGGCGAGUCAAGUAACAGGUCUCGGAGAUAUUGAACUCAGAAGCCACAGCUUGUAGCCAUUCUUCAUCUCUAUCUUCCUCUAACAAACAAACCGCUGCCGGGUUCCCCUUGAAAGCUGAGUCAGUAAAAGCAUCCACCUGUCAAAGCAACAAAAAGAACCCAGUCCCAUUCAACCACAACGGAACAUCAAUCUAUAUACAAAAGAGGAGAUUACUAUUAGUUACCACAUAGUAUUGUACGAGCUUCUUGGCCAUGUUGCAGAAUAAAGAAUGAAGUUUAGAGUUUGACACGUGAAACUUGGAGUUGCAGAGCUGAAACCCGAAACUGAGAUGAAGGAAAUGGUCAACCUAACAGCCGCCAACCUACUGUCUUUUUCUUUAUAUUUUUUCCUUUCUUUCCACGCUUCUUCCCCUCUCGUUAAUCACGGACGCUUGGCACAUUCGAUUGGACUGUGCAUGACACAAUAAGAUUUGUUUUUCUUAAAAUUAUCUUGUAUUCUGCCUACUACAACCAACUGAUUAACUUAAUUUACAAGAAAAGAAUUUUCUUAAAUAGUAGAAUCAAGUGAGGCAAUGAAUAAAUUUUAUUUGACUGUGAAUUAUAUUAAAUAUAAUUUAGAGAGACUCAUGAGGAAAUUAAAUAUACUAAUAUCAAUUUAUUAAUUAUUAAAUAAUGUUUAUUUAAUAAUAACAUUGAUAAAUAAAAUUUUUAUUUAAAUUUUAUGUAUGCCAUUCAUUUAUAAAUUCAUUGAAUAGAUGACUUGUCAAUAAAAUUUUUACUGUAGAAUAAAAAUUGUACAAUUUAUCAUAGAUAAAUUCACGAUAUAGAAAGUAUAAUUUCUGAACUUGUUAUGCGCGUAGAUAAAACUUCGUUACAAGGUAUCGAACAAUUAUCAAAUCAUUGUAUGACAUAUCGUUUCUAAGUACAUCACAUAGAUGCCAUGUUCGAAAAGUUUACGGAACGCGUUUAAUAUGACACGAAUAACUUUAACACAUAGAUAAACAUCUCAUUAAUAACUGAUUCAACACCGGUAGGACAUGUUCAAAACUUCAAGGACCACAAAACCUAACCCACCUUGCAGGAAGCUGAAAUGCCACCAACCAAGCAAAUUAUUCAAAUAAACCCCUUCAAAUUCUAUGAAAAAGCCAAUCACCUGAACAAUUAUUUUGCCGUCAAUCCAGCAUAAAUUCAUCUGAAUAUAAGGGAAGAAAUGACAUAACGUAUAUUAAUCCCUCAAAUAUAACAUAUUCUAAAUGAAGUCAAGCUAAGAAGUAACUUGACAAAUCCUAACUUAUACGGGUUUUUGGACGGGUAGACUACAGACACCCCUGUUUUACAAAGCUGAUGAUCAAUAAACAAAUAUAAUUGAAAGCUGAAACACAGAAUUACAUUUCACUUCAUCGAAGGUUACAUGAAGUUGGUACAUGACAUAAUGUACAAUCUUAUUUAUGUACAAGAAUGGGGAGCCCCAGCACCCAGGCACAUUACCAAAUCCCUUCCUUGGACAGUCUUAGAAACUGCGAAAGGGUAAUGCGGGGGAUCUCGGCUGAACCUUUUUUCUUCUUCUUAAUCCUUGUCAUUUUCAAAGAUUCCUCAUCCUUUGAUUCUGUAACUGUUACUGAGACCAAAUUAUAGAACUGUUCAAAAACAGAUUUUAUUACGGAUUAGAUGGUCUGCCUUAAUCUUCAGUAAACAAUCAAUCAACAAAUGCACAUCGACCAUUAAUUUUACUAUUAUCUAAGAGAUCUCUAACAUCAUCAUCUGAUUACAUGGCUUUCAGUCCGGUAUGAAAUGUGGCCUCCAAAUGAAACAACUUAUGAGACAAGUUACCUCACAGACACCAUGCAGCAACAACCUAUGAAAUGAAUCUUGAACUCGUAGCACAAGCUCAUCUGCAUCUUUGCUCUCCUCAAUGAAGGCUCGUAUGCAAACCUGUGAUUAAAAGGAUUUUAACUCCUAAUAACAAUAAAAUCUGUUAACAAGCCAUGCAUUAAAAAGACAAAGACCGGGCAGAUAUACCAGCUGGUUGACACAUAAUUAAUACAGAAUAAAGAUGAGACUUUAAUAUUUUAAAUCCUUCAUAAAACCAAAUGGAUACUCUUACCAACUUAUUUUUGGAUUAUAAAAAUUUAAUGCCAAACAGAUAUUAUGAUCCUCGCUACAGAGAACAUAAAAUGAAUUGCAAUUAACAGAGUAAAGAAAAAAAGGAUGAAUAUAAAUAUGUACCUCGAAGCCCUCAAUAAGUUCUGGAAGAUAGCUACGGCGAAAUGCAUCUCUUGUUCGACAAUCGAUUCUGCGCCAUGCAUUCAAGACAGCUAUCUUAUCAGUGUCAACAUGACAUUUCCUCUUCAGGGUCGAACCAUUUAAGGCUUUAAUGAUAUUAGCCUGCCACAAACAAAAGAUGAUUGCAGUUGGAGCAUUUUGGCACAUUACAUGUCAAAUUAACACAAAGCAUUGUAUUGGAGUCUGCAUCCACACAAAUCUCACAAAACUGCAGGUUAUUCAGGCAUAUACUUUCUUGACAGCAGAAGAAAUUUGAAAGAUCAAAACUAGUUUUGGUGAUUAAGAGAAGUAAAAAGACCUCUUUAUCCAUGUCUAUAUUCCUGAAUUUGUCCCACUCUCCAUAGUUAGUCAUACAAAAUGGUGAUGGCGGCACUUUGUCACCUGCAAAAUGAACUCAAAAUCAAUGCUAAAAUAACUGAUUUUGCAAAUUACUGCCACAAAGGUGCAAGUGACUUCAGAGAUGCCAAAAAUAAAAGUUGUGCUCCUGUUGUUCCCCAACAGAAAGAACGAAGAGUGUACUUAAAUUUGCUGAGUAGUAUCAAAGUUAGUACACACACAAACAUACGACGACUAUAUCCAAAUAAACUUGACCGUAUUAUGAUAUAAGAAGUUAAGCAAAUUUCCGUAUUGAUAAGAAAAUAAGAACCAAUCCGAACUCCACUACUGCAACAUGUAUAUUGCACACGGCUCACCUCAAAUACCCACAGAUAACUUGACACAAGAAAGACAACCUUGGUGUAAAUGUAAAGAAUUACAGAAACAGGAUAGUAUUCAAUUCUCUUGCAUUUGCUUGUCAGCAAAUUUCAUAUCGGAACAACUAAACCAAAUUAGUAUGCCAAGUAAGUGCCCUAGGGCAACUUGAUAAGGCAGCGUGCUUGAAUGAGCCAAAAGCACACACAGACACAUACUGAUAAAGAUAGCAGUUAUUUGAGCAUUAUAAAUAGGAAAAUCAAGGCAGAAAAUUACCCCAAGGUGGUGGAGCAAACAAGCCUCUAAUUUCAUCGGCAUCUAACCGUGGAACAAGUUCCAUCAACAAACGAUCAUUUAACCACCUUCGAGACCGUCGAUUGCUAACCUGCAACAAAAUAAAAUGAGUCCCAAUAUGAUUAAUGAACUUGCACAAAUUUAAUGGAUUCUUUAUUCCCAAAAACAUCAAAUGAAAAUGAACCAUAUCGAACAUACGUGAACAAAGACACCUCAAGUAUCUUCAGCAAAACAACUUUUAUCAGUAGUGAUCAACAAAAUACAAUCCAUCAGUGGGGACCCAAGUUAGGGUCACAUAGAUUGCACCAAUCGUAUGUAUAUGCAACGGGAAAAUACAGUAUUUGAACAGUGUCACUUAAGAAGAAUCAAGUAUAAGAAAUUUGAGCUGUCGUCACACAACUGGACAAUUUGAUUCAAUAUGAAGAUCAAACUUAUAGUGGCUAUGUAAUCUUCUCAAAUUUACGUUACAGUAACCAUUUGUAGGUUAGGAAAGAGAAUUACAUUUCCGGUUAAGCUCUCUAGAAAUUCGAUUUUCUUUUCGAUCGACAUCCCACGUGACUUCGCACCCUCUCCUGCUAAAAAAUAACACAAAAGAAUUAAAAAAAUUUCUCACAUAUACACGCGAGUGCAGAAUAUGUCUAGAAAUACGAUCUGGGUAUUGCAAAAUAAUGCCAUAAAAGAAAAAAAAGAACCUUUGCUGGGAUCAAGGAGAGGAGGCGAAAGAAGGAAGUCUUGCUCUCUCUCCAUAAUGUCCGGAGUCGCCAUAAUUGAUUGAUUUGGUUGAUUCAAUUGAUGAACGGAUAGAUCUGGGCUCUGCUUUAUCUCUUUGAUUAAGAAGUUUUGAGGAACUAAGACGAGAGUGAUUACGAUAAUGGACAAGGCCGAUUUUUUUUUUUUUUUUACCUUUCUUUUUUCUUUUCUGGCUGCGGUGGUACUGCUUAAAUGAAAACAGAGCAGAACGCAAAAACACAGAGAGAGAGGAAUAUGCGAGUUCGUGUUUGCGAAGCGGUUUGACUGUUACUUGCGACUUGUCCGUAGCCAAAUCUACCAGCCCUAUCUAUCUGCUCUAAUUUCCCUUCCUCAUAUUAGAACGUGCUGCUAAAGGUUGUACCUCUUUAUGCUGAACGUGGUUUUGACUUUUAGUUGAAAGACGAGGUUGUCUUGUCCCAAGGUGCAAUCCCCUCGUAGCUGAAAAUUUUGGAGCUUUGAAUUUGAUCAUCAGGGGACACGUAUGAAGAACGUGCACGAUUUAGGCAGCUGUACAUGUUUGUCAAACUCUAGUUGUAGACUUAUAGGGCUCCUCCUCCGUUCUGUUUUCUAUUGUUAAAUGCAACGGCAGAUUGAAACUUAUUUGCCCGAGGCGUGUAAUCGGGAUGACGUUGGGUUCUUGUAGCAUUAUUACCUUUUCUUUUGUCUGCUUUGAAUUUUAAUCGGCCCAUCAAUAUGGCAUUGCACGAUCCAGAUUCACGAUUAAUCCAAUAUAUGGUUGGUCUGUAUGGCGUUUGGUUGAUCGUUUGGCUGUCGGCCCAUCGCGAUGGUCCUUUUCUUUAUUUUAUUUUUCGUGUUAGGAUUUAAUCCAAUGGUUAAGGCUCUGAGAUUAAACAGUUGUAGAGUUAAACAUUAAAAUAUUGAUAAACACUAGUUGAUGUAGUUUAAAAAUUAAGUUAAUUUGACCUCACACUUAUUUGAUAGAAAAUUUAUAAUAUCUUUAUUAUUUUUGUUAAAAUUAUAUAUAUAGAUAGAUAGAUAGCAAAAUUUAUUAUAGAAUAUCAACUUCAUUUGAUAUUGAAAACAACAACAUAUGCUUCUUUAGAAAAAAAAAAUGAAAAAGAAAAAGAAAAUAACAACAUAUGACUAAAAAAAACCAACAAUUUUUCUCAUUAAAAAUAAUAUGGUUAUUAUUUUCAUGGCAUAUUUCGUAUAGGGAAAUAUCCAUUUUUGUAGUAAUGCGCCGUCUCAUUCUAAGAAAACAAAAGUUAACGUCUCGCUAUGAGAAAAAGAAAGUGGAUAAUUCAUUCCCCAUUUCCACGUUUAAGGGGACAAAUAUGGCAUUUCACAUCAUGUCCUUCACUAUCUCCAAAAUGCGGAUACUACAUGGCUGCAACAAUGUACGUACAAGCCAAUCCCAGAAGCAAAGGUGGCAAAGGGCAAAGCUCUUUCCUUUGGUUUUUCUCUUACAAUUAAUAUUAAUAUCCCCCUCUGUCUCUCACAAAACCCUAACUCCGCCACCUUUAAAUCCUUUGGGUAAGUUUCUCUUUAUCUGUAGAAUCUCUAGGUGUGCAUGUAUAUAUAUAUAUAUAUAUAUAUAAGCAUGUAUCAUGUUGUUUUCAGUAUUACUAAAAAUGACCAUGCUGUUAUACUAGCUUAUCACGUCUUUAUGUAUAACUAUCAAACUUGAAAAUGUUUUUCUUCUGAUAGGUCUAUGUUUAAAUGAGCAUUUCAUUUAUAUGGGUGGGUUUCUGUUCGGUUUUUAAUAUCAUAUAUAUGGGAAAUUUCUUUGUAGCUUAAACUUGUCUUAUGUUAUGUGAUUUACAGCCAGUUGCUAUCCCUUAAAAUUGGAAUGGACUAAUAUUGUUGUAUUAAAAAUUUCCAUUUCUUUUCACUUAGUCCGAUCUCGGAUGUCAAAUAUGCAUGACUCAUUUUGUAAUCCAUUUUUCUAUUUUUUAGAUUAACUAAAUAAAGAACUUUGUAAUUACGGGGGGGAAAAAAAGAUGCUAAUAAAUAAAUAAAGACUGUUCUUUCUUGACUCGCUGCAUUCAUUGAUAUCCUGUGAUUUAAGCCGUGUCUUCAUAAAUGUGUUGUUUCUCUACGUCUUAGCAUCUUAUACCAUUUAGCUUGUCUGGUUUUAAAUUUCUGAUCAAAUUAAAAAUUUUUGGAAUCGGUCGAUUAAUUCUAUAUAAGACUCACUCCUCUGCUUUUUGUCACUUUGUUUACGGUACUUACCACUCACAGUAAUUCAUGCUAUUUUACUGCUUACUAGUAACUAAGGGUUGGAACUUAGAAGGUUUGGCUUGAGUUAUAUAGAAUGGAAGGACAAAGUGAUCAGCAGAAAUUUCAGUGGUUGAUGUCAUCAAAUUUUGAUGGGAAUGCCAAUGAUGAGUCUCAUGGACCUGGAUAUGAUCUAAACCAACCCUUUGUUGCGGAAGCUGGAUGGGAUGGGAACCAGCAUAAUUCUCUGCCUUUACCUCAGUGGCCAUACAGCUGGAAAGCUCCUCGCAGCUACAUUGAUUUGAUUGCAGAAAGUUCCACAUUUCUUGAAAAUGCUACUGGUGCAGAUAUGUUAGAGUGUAUUACUUCACCUGUUGGUGGGGCUCACUCUGUUUAUGGAGGCUCUGAAAUCCAAAGAGAACUAUUGUUCAACAAUCUUGGGAACCCUUGCGGUCAUACACCUCCUUAUGGAGACUCUGAAAUCCAGAAAGACCUAUUGUUCAACAAUCUUGGAAAUGCCUGUGGUCAUGCACCUGCUUAUCCAUUCUUCGACUUGGAUGUUUCAAAGGUAAAGCCAUCUUCCUAGGUGCUUUAUGAGGCAACGACCAUGAAGCUGAAAUGUCUGAUUGGGUAUGUGCUACAGGUAAGAUUUCAGAACCCAUAUGAUGUUGUGGAAUCACAAAACAGCAACUUUAUGUUCUUCCCGCAGCAGAUUCUUUCUCAGGUUUAUUUCAUCCAUUAAUAUCUCCAUUUCCAAAUACAAGUUGAGCAUAUUGUCUUAAGCAGUCAUUAAACUUGAGGACUUGAUUUUUGAUAGGUAGAUGCCAAUAUCUCGCACCAGAAUCAAACUUUAUGGAGACAAGAACCAUAUGAAGAAUGUAAUGUGUCUCAACUUUAUCCCAGGGUAACAGUUGCUCCAUCUAUUUACCUUUCCAAACAACGAUCCAGGGUAUCGAAACAAAGAGCCAGUGCAUCUUAUCGUGCAAGUAGAAUACCCUUCUCAGCCAUUGCAGAAGCUAAUGUAUCAACCCCUGUACUCAACGGACCAACAAAUAUGGUUACAAUCAGAUAAUUCAUUUUACUAAUUUUUCUUAUUUGGAAUAAAAUAAUAGUCGUUGUAGUACUCUGACUAAAGUUUAUUUCUGAUUCAUUGUCGCAAGACACGAAGAGCUGAAAGAAUCAGAGCAUCGCAAGAACUGCUUCCUCAUUCUGUAGAGGUAAUGUGUCAAUGCUUUCACAGUUAUCGUGACAAUUAACAUGUAUGCAUGACACGAGAAGUUUUUCAAUUAUGUAAUCUUAAGGUGUGCUGCAUAUCCUAAUGCUAAUUCCCUCAUACAUUGUCUUUUACAUAUAAAAAUAAUAGCAAAAUUUUGUUAUAUGUUUAUUACGUACAAUACUCUAAAGAUGCCAUUGUAAUAAGGAAAUGGCGUUAUAUUGUGUAUGCUUUUUGGGAUCCCAAUGUCCGUCGUCACGCUAUGUCUAGUUCCAAUGAUUGUGCAUGUGAAAUUUUAAAGGUGAGCACUGGUUCACUUUUGGUUUUGCAGGGUGGUCAUGCAGCUGUGGUGGAUGAUACCAUUGACUACAUCAAGUUUCUACAGUCACGAGUGAAGGUAUGGCGUACCCUGAGGUGCCAUUUUACACCACUUAUGCACCGACAGUCACUUACCAUAUUGACAUGUAUUUCUUUCUAUGUGCGAAAUUCAAUACAAGCGUAUGGUUCAAACUUCAAAUAAGUUGAAUCCGAUUCUUCAUUGCUUUCAUUUGCUUUAAUGACAGUUCCAGCGAUCUUAAGAUAAAAAUUUACUUCCAUAGGUGCAUAUCUAUCGUAAACUUUUUGCAAUGAUGGUGUAGAUUUGUAUGUUUAUCAAACCAUAUCAUAAUAUUAAGGAAGUAAUUUGA
rnacentral:lncRNA from 1 species